UCGAUUCCCUUAGUAGCGGCGAGCGAAACGGGAAGAGCCCAAACCAACAAGCUUGCUUGUUGGGGUUGUAGGACACUCUAUACGGAGUUACAAAGGACGACAUUAGACGAAUCAUCUGGAAAGAUGAAUCAAAGAAGGUAAUAAUCCUGUAGUCGAAAAUGUUGUCUCUCUUGAGUGGAUCCUGAGUACGACGGAGCACGUGAAAUUCCGUCGGAAUCUGGGAGGACCAUCUCCUAAGGCUAAAUACUCUCUAGUGACCGAUAGUGAACCAGUACCGUGAGGGAAAGGUGAAAAGCACCCCGGAAGGGGAGUGAAAUAGAACCUGAAACCGUGUGCUUACAAGUAGUCAGAGCCCGUUAAUGGGUGAUGGCGUGCCUUUUGUAGAAUGAACCGGCGAGUUACGAUUUGAUGCAAGGUUAAGCAGUAAAUGUGGAGCCGUAGCGAAAGCGAGUCUGAAUAGGGCGUUUAGUAUUUGGUCGUAGACCCGAAACCAGGUGAUCUACCCUUGGUCAGGUUGAAGUUCAGGUAACACUGAAUGGAGGACCGAACCGACUUACGUUGAAAAGUGAGCGGAUGAACUGAGGGUAGCGGAGAAAUUCCAAUCGAACCUGGAGAUAGCUGGUUCUCUCCGAAAUAGCUUUAGGGCUAGCCUCAAGUGAUGAUUAUUGGAGGUAGAGCACUGUUUGGACGAGGGGCCCCUCUCGGGUUACCGAAUUCAGACAAACUCCGAAUGCCAAUUAAUUUAACUUGGGAGUCAGAACAUGGGUGAUAAGGUCCGUGUUCGAAAGGGAAACAGCCCAGACCACCAGCUAAGGUCCCAAAAUAUAUGUUAAGUGGAAAAGGAUGUGGCGUUGCCCAGACAACUAGGAUGUUGGCUUAGAAGCAGCCAUCAUUUAAAGAGUGCGUAAUAGCUCACUAGUCGAGUGACACUGCGCCGAAAAUGUACCGGGGCUAAACAUAUUACCGAAGCUGUGGAUUGUCCUUUGGACAAUGGUAGGAGAGCGUUCUAAGGGCGUUGAAGCAUGAUCGUAAGGACAUGUGGAGCGCUUAGAAGUGAGAAUGCCGGUGUGAGUAGCGAAAGACGGGUGAGAAUCCCGUCCACCGAUUGACUAAGGUUUCCAGAGGAAGGCUCGUCCGCUCUGGGUUAGUCGGGUCCUAAGCUGAGGCCGACAGGCGUAGGCGAUGGAUAACAGGUUGAUAUUCCUGUACCACCUAUAAUCGUUUUAAUCGAUGGGGGGACGCAGUAGGAUAGGCGAAGCGUGCGAUUGGAUUGCACGUCUAAGCAGUAAGGCUGAGUAUUAGGCAAAUCCGGUACUCGUUAAGGCUGAGCUGUGAUGGGGAGAAGACAUUGUGUCUUCGAGUCGUUGAUUUCACACUGCCGAGAAAAGCCUCUAGAUAGAAAAUAGGUGCCCGUACCGCAAACCGACACAGGUAGUCAAGAUGAGAAUUCUAAGGUGAGCGAGCGAACUCUCGUUAAGGAACUCGGCAAAAUGACCCCGUAACUUCGGGAGAAG
rnacentral:rRNA from 1 species